UGGCCUUAUCCAGUUACUAGGAGAGUUUGAUCCGGUUAUGAUGGAACAUUUAAGAUGCAUUGAAGAGAGUGAAUAUCGAGUUCAAAUGUUAAGUGUCAAUAUUCAAAAUGAGUUGAUAAACUGCCUGGCAAAGGAGGUGAAAAACAAUAUAAUCGAGAAAAUAAAGCUGUCACAGUACUUCUCAGUUAUGUUGGAUUGUACGCCAGACGUAAGUCAUAAGGAACAAACAUCUCUCACCAUUCGCUAUGUUCACGAAGAAGAGAUCGAUGGUGAAAUUGUUAUUGAAGAGAGUUUUAUAGGCUACACGAUUACUGAGGAGUCAACAGGGGAAGCAUUGACUCAAUUGUUAACAGAAGAGGUAGAGUUAUGUGGUUUGGACAUGAGUAACUGCCGCGGGCAAGGGUACGACAAUGGCGCAAACAUGGCAGGAGCUAAAAAAGGGGUCCAAUCAUGAAUAUCCUCAGAAUAUCCUUUAGCUGUAUUUACACCCUGCGGAUGCCACAGCCUCAACUUGGUUGUUGCAGAUGGAACCAGAUCAUCCGUCAAGUCUACUCUACUUUUUGGAAUCCUUCAAAAGAUUUACACUAUUUUCGCAUCAUCUCCAAAACGUUGGUGCGUUGUCAGUGACCAUGUUAAAGGUUUAACUUUGAAAAAGGUUUGUGAAACAAGAUGGGAGGCUCGAAUAAGUUCUGUAUCUGCCGUUCGAUACUAGUACAAAGACGUCCUUGACACUCUUGUAGAACUGAGUGAAACUGUCAAUGACCCUACAAUCUCAUCUGAAGCUAAGUCCCUCCAAAUUCACAUGGAAGACUUUUCAUUUCUGGUUUGCCUUAUUGUUUGGCACGAUGUUUUGUUUGAGGUAAACUUGAUAAGUAAAACCUUACAAGGUAAAAGCACUGAUAUUGCUUUAACAUCAAAUCUGCUGCAAAAAACUUUACAGUUCAUAGAUGAUUUUCGUAAAGACGGUUUAAAUGACUCAGUUUCAAAAGCCAAAGAGAUUUGUAGUGAAAUUGACAUGGAACCAUUGUUUAAAGAAAACCGCCAAAGAACAAAAAAUAAGCUUUUUGAUCAUGAAAGUAAAAGUGACUACAAAGCAACUCCAGAAGAAGAAUUUAAAAGUAACGUUUUCUACCCACUAUUGGACAUUAUGCAGGCUUCCCUAAAAGAAAGGUUAAUUCAGUUUUCAAACCACAACUUGAAAUGGGGGUUUUUAUACGACCUUAAACAACUCCCUCACGCAGAAGAUUUGAAGGAAUGUUGUGCAAAUUUACAGAAACAUCUAUCGUUUGGGCAAACCUCUGACAUAAGCGGAAAAGAACUUUAUCAGGAACUCCUUCAUGUCAAAACUAUUGUGAAUGAAGUAAGCCUAGCUAAGGCAACCCCAUUACAAGUUUUAAAAGUGAUUAAGAAGACAGACAGAAAGGACCUAUACACAAACUUAUGGAUUGCACUUCGAAUCCUUCUAACUAUUCCCAUAUCUGUUGCCAGUUUUGAAAGAAGCUUUAGUAAGCUUAAAUUAAUAAAAACCUACUUGCGUUCUUCAAUGUCUCAGGAGAGACUGUCAUCCCUUGCCAUGCUGUCUAUUGAAAAUGAAGAAUGUAAAAGGCUGAAGUUAGAAGACGUUAUCAAGAAGUUUGCUAGUGCAAAGGCCAGGAAGAUUUCUUUUAAAAAAUAAAACUAUGUCUGUCAAAGAUUCGGUUUGAGAUGGCCACACCAAUCACCAUGGAAAAUCAUCCAUGCUAUAGCACUUCAAUUAUGUCUUCACAUCGUUCAGAGAGAAACAAACAUUUCAAGAGGCUUCAGUGAAUGUCAUUUUUGACAAAUCCGAGGUAUCUCCAGAUGCCUAUGACAUUGCAUUUUGGUGCCUAUGACCAAAAACUACCUUUAAACCAAGUGUACAUAUGCUUCAGAAAUGAUUAAAGCUCCAGAACCAAAUAUAAUACACAAGAAGUAGUGAAUGAGUUGUCUGGAAAAUGUAACCAGUUAUUAUACCAAGUAACAGGUGGAUCAGAGACACAUAAAAUCUGUUUACUUUUGGAUCUUCUCGUGUUUCCCAUGGCUGAGGCUGUCAGUGAACUUCCAUGACAAGCCUAACUGCUGUGUGACGCUUGGAAGAAAGCGUACAUUGUAUUUUAAAUGCUUAGGAGCACAAAUGUUUUUACAAGCAGGUACACUUUAGUUUCAAUUCCUUGCAAACAAUAUUUUUUAAUCAUUCACAGAUAACGCAUAAAAUAUUUAAUUCAGCCUACAUACACUUCAAGUUAUUACAUCCUUUAAGAAAUUUUUUUUAUAUAAGUAAAAUAACUCAAUCUUGAUCCUAACUUAUAACAAAUGCAAAAUGUUUAGGUAAUAUUAAACUACAGUAACUUAUGUGAUCUUAUCACCUAAUUUAUUGUAAUACUAAUACAUUAAUUAUUGUUGUUUUUAACUUAUUAAACCAUUUUACAGACAUUUGCAACGUUCUAAUGUGAUUCAGAAAGAUCACACAGAAAGUAAACAUACAAGUAUCUACUUGUACUUAUUUAAAAUAACAUGUGAAAUUCUUAUUGCCUGAACAUUUGUUUGGCUCUUAGGAAGAUAAAAAUUAUCAAUAAAAUAUUAAGAGAUAAUCAUGUUAUAACUAAUAAGAGUGUUAGACUUGUCGAAUCUGUGCUGAUUGAACAUAUCACUCUUAACCCUUUGCACGCCAAGUAAUUACGUAUAUGUUUUGCCCUAGUGCCAAAUUACUGAAUAUUUUAAUUUUUUGAAAACUGUAAAGCCAUUUUUUUAUUUGUUUAAGUAAUUGGUUUAAAGAAUAAAAAACCAUGAAAUGCUUUUAUAGGCAUUUUUUAAACGAAAUAUAGAUAUUUUUCUAUUUUAAGGACCAGUAGGUAUGAAAUGAAUAAAAAAGUUAUUUUGAUAAAACUGUAUAAUUUUUACAAACUUAUACUGGUACAUGAAGUAGAUAUGAUAAGUAAAUAAAUACACAUUUUGGAAAACAGUAAAAAGAUAUCUUACAAACUGUUUUCUGAUUUUUUUUACGAAUAAUCGUCCAAAGUAUGAAACGCCUCAAAACAAACUUCUGGGUGUAGCGCUGCUGGAUUGU